GGAGGGUUCGCAUAGCGGUCUAGUGCGCAGUCCUGGAAAGACUGUAUGCCUUUACGGGCAUCGAGAGUUCGAAUCUCUCACCCUCCGCAA
rnacentral:tRNA from 3 species